rnacentral:rRNA from 1 species
AUUGAACGCUGGCGGCAGGCCUAACACAUGCAAGUCGAGCGAGCGGCGGACGGGUGAGUAAUGUAUGGGGACCGCCCUAUAGAGGGGGAUAACUACCGGAAACGCUAGCUAAAACCCCAUACUACUGGCAUACCCAAAUGGGAUGAGCUAGUUGGUGAGGUAAUGGCUCACAUAGGAGACGAUCCCUAGCUGGUCUGAGAGGAUGAUCAGCCACACUGGAACUGAGACACGGGCCAGACUCCUACGGAGGCAGCAGUGGGGAAUAUGGCACAAUGGGCGCAAGCCUGAUGCAGCCAUGCCGCGUGUAUGAAGAAGGCCCUAGGGUUGUAAAGUACUUUCAGUCGGGAGGCGUUACCGACAGAAGAAGCACCGGCUAACUCCGUGCCAGCAGCCGCGGUAAUUC